AGUGGUUCUGAAAUCGCUGCGCUAGGGGCGACUGCAACCAAGCGUUGCGGCAAGUUACGGUGGGAGCUUCUGUCCGUGCUGUGUGAUUGCGACGAGGGGACCGCCGCCAGCAGCAGCGUAUCGCCGAUUUCGUCUUUCGGUUUGCACUGCAUCUUUCAUUGUGAUAUGGGAGAUCGCAACGGACAGAGACGAUCAGAUGCAUACGAACCACUACCAGCGGGGACCUGUGACCUGUGCCAUAUUUCUCUUAACGUCUCAGGUAUUCAAGAAAUGCCAACAUCCAGAAGACGCCAUCUUAUCCAGCACGUUAUGGGUACACUCUGGUGGCUCCCGCCCUUGCAUCCUACCACCACUGUGUCCUGACUACGUCCACUAGAGAGUUCGAAGCCUUUGGCAGCUCCUGCUGUCCUGCCACCACCGUGUCCUGACUACGUCCACUAGGGAGUUGGCAGCCUUCGUGAUGAUGCCAAGCAGGCUGGAAGCCGACAGAAAGAUUAAGGUUGCCUCGAAAUUUUACCAAAGCCGUACCACACACUCGGGCAAGGCCUUUUUGCAAAUGGCGUAUAACCAGGCUCAACGCAUGAGUGUCGAGUGAGUCUGGAGAUCAAGGCAACCUGCUGUGCAACCAGCAUGCAACCUUUGGUGGCCCCUCUACAUGUUCCACCUAUUUCACAGCUGCACCUCCGCCGCAACUUAUCCAAACAGCAUCACCAACUGUGGUCACUCAUCGAACCAUGGAUGAAUGUUGGGGUGGAGUGAUUUGAAGAGACAUUCUAUUUGUCUCUUCAAAUUCUUAGCAAAUACUUGUGUUAUUAUAAUUAAUAUGUGUCUUUAGUGCCGAGUUUUUAAUGGUUCCUUUCUAUUAGAAUUCUCACCAUCGAUUCCUGGUAUUAUAAUGUAUGUCUUUAUGCCCAGUUUUUCGUAGUUGUUUCGUACUUGUGUAUGUAAUUGAUAGGUUCAUACUUGUUAUACAGAAGGCUAAAAUGCAAACUUACAGCAUUUUUUUUCUUUCUUUUGAUAAUCUACAGCACUGCAAAGGGUUCAAGAAAUGUAACCUAACGUGGGCUCUUGUGCAGGAAAAAUUUAAGAGCAAUAUAGAGUACUUAUUUCAAACACCCAUUAUUCUUGGAAAAGUCAAGAAUAUAGGAGCACAAAAAAGAAAAUAUUAAACUAGAGAAACAUGAGUUCCCCUCAUAAGUCUGAUAAUAAUGCGACUUCCUUUCACUGCAAAGAUACCAGUAAUGUACUCGCAUACAAGGUUUCAAACAAGAAAGCUAUGAUGCCCUUGGCAUUUCUCAGUGCCUAUUUGCCACACUGACGAAUGUCAAAGGCAUCGUAGGUUUCAUGCACACAUUGGUUGUGUUACACUUUUGAGUAUUGCAUUUCUCAAACACAAAGGUUUACAGCAGUGCUUUAAAUAGCAAGUGCAUUUCCUAAUUUAUUAGUACAAGAGUAACAGUACAGAUCAUGUAAAAAUUAUUUUACAGACUAUAUGUCCAUGGAUGCACGCUUCUGAUGACAUAGCAGUGACGUGUUCGUGGGAUGAAUGUCUUUAUUUCAGAUUUAAAUAUUGGCUUCCAGGUCUGGGUUAGUCUCCUACACUGAGUAGUCUAGGUCAGAGCCCAUUUACUAGAGAAAGUGAAUUAAACUAGGAAUUAUAAACAUGAAAAGAUCUUGUUUAGGACACCAAUAAGACAAUCAGCAAGGUUCUUUGGUUAUUCAUUUCCAAAUUUGUGAGGAUAUAUUUUAUGACUGGUUUCAAUAUUGUGAAAACAAAUAUUUGUUUAUUGUCACACUAGAGUUGGCUGCCCCCAUUUGUAUACAACCCCUUUACAGGCUAAAAAUUCAGUGUGUUACCCUAUUUACUCGCAUAAUGAUCGCACUUUUUUGUAAAAAAAAUUGACUCAAAUUCAGGGGUGCGAUCAUUACGCUGGUUAAAUUUCCCGCAAAAAGAAAAAAAUAUAUUAUCUGGCAUUUACUACGGGAUGACAACAGGUCAACAAAUAGGCGGCUGCUGCUGUAUGUAGUGCAGGACACGAAAAAAAAUGGUGGCCGGCAGAGCAAGCCGAACGCGCUGAUUGCGUUUUUCUUCUCGUGAGUACAUUACAGUGCAUUCAAACAGUUUCUUCCAUAUUAGUAAUGAAUAACAUCGGCGAGUUUGCGGCAAUAGCAUAGCCAUGCCCACUUUGAGGGGACAGAGAUGGGCGCGCUUAGCUCUGCCAGUGACAUAGGAACACAUGGUGGGCAUGCUGCGGAAACUGCGGCAUUUGUCUUCACCACUAUCCUAAUGUGGCACGUUUCCGCUAAGGGUGGGCGAAUAUCUUAGCUGCGUUACAAACGUCGGUGAAUGAAUAGGGUACACUUCUAACGUAUCAGUGUAAACGUGGCUGCUAUCAUUGCCGCUCGCGAUUUGUUGCGUGCCCACAAGUGCAGAUGAGAAGAAUCGAAAGACGCCUUUUUUGUUGUUUUUGUUGACCACAACCAUUAUAAAGCCUACACAUAAUAAAGGAAAGUUUGGUUGUAGCUUUUUUUUGUCGUAGAAGUGCAGAAAGUGAUGAAAGGAAUGAAAUGGGGCAUCUGCUUAAGAAAGUUUUUUGCAUGCAGUCUGCUUGGUUUGUCUUGAAGAGUCGUUCGCAUAGCAGUCGACAGAUGGUAAGCGCGAUCAUUAUUAGCUAGAUUUGGCACAUGACACAUCACUGCGGCAAGUUCGGGGUGAAAUCGUUACAUGGGAAAUUUAAAAAAUCGAAUUUUGACGACAAAAUUUAGGAGUGCGAUCAUUACGCAAGUGCAAUCAUUAUGCGAGUAAAUACGGUAAUAGGCUGUUUUUGGUUUCGUGCACUCUAUGUUAAGGGAUGCAAAUGGUGACAUACAACAGAAUGCAAAAAUGACUAAUGAAUUCAAGCAGGGCAUGGGGCUUUUUAGGCAGAUGCGUGCGUGUGCUAUUUAUAAAGCUCCCCAUGGUAUGCCUGAAGGCAUUUUCUAACACUUUGGUAGAAUACACUGACACCCCCUUAUUAACUCUUCGAAACAACUUUUAUAUAUUUGUACUAGAGAUUUGAAUAUACUGUCAUUCAUAAAGUGUUUUAUUAGAUUUGAAUUGUCAUUUAUUUUUGUGUAGCUGCUGUUUUUCAGUUAUGUCCUACACAGUGGCAAAAUAUUUUUGUGGGCACUUUCCUGUGUAUAAAAUUUUCAGAAAUAGCUUCAUGCUGUAUCUUAUUUAGCUACUCGUAUACUGCAAAGUGGUGAUACCUAUCCAAAUGGCUUGUACAAUUACUGGAACUAUGCAAAAAUAUAUUAGGCCACAUUAAAUAAUUUUACAGAUUGCAAUUUCAAUUAGACAUCAGCAUUCUGCAUAUCUUGAAGAGUACGUAUGCCAAAUUUCGAAGUAUAGGACAACUAUAAGUGCAUAAGAAGUAUGCAAGAUUAGUAGGCAGGCCUCUCUGCCUGCCUACUAAUUUUGCAUACUUCUAGUAACUUUACAUGCUCUUUGAAUAGAUAUCGGCACUUUGCAGUCUACAAAGAGCUGAGGUAGCUACAGCACACUGCUUUUUGUGAAAAUUUACACAAGAAAGUGCCCGCAAAGAUCAGUGUAUUUUCCCAUUGUGUAGGACAUAACUCAAGAAGCAGCUAAAGAAAUACUGACAUAUAUGACAUCUGCAUGAAGAACUCUACAAUUUGCUCUCUUUUCAAGCCUCUAGCACGAAUAAUAAGACUGUUUCGAGUAAUAUUCAAUCAGCAAAACAUGCCCCUUGCUAUAGUGACCUACAACCUAGAAACGCAAAUUGAACGCAAGUCUUUUUGUUGAAGCGACUCUGGGCUGUCUUCCCAAGGGCUUCUGUUAAACACUGAAAUUUCCUGCAUUUACCAGAAGUGCAAUACUCAAAUGUUUGUGUAUGUGCAAUUGGUACUGGCA